UAGGGAAUCUUCGGCAAUGGGGGCAACCCUGACGGAGCAACGCCGCGUGAGUGAUGACGGCCUUCGGGUUGUAAAGCUCUGUUAAUCGGGACGAAAGGCCUUCUUGCGAAUAGUUAGAAGGAUUGACGGUACCGGAAUAGAAAGCCACGGCUAACUACGUGCCAGCAGCCGCGGUAAUACGUAGGUGGCAAGCGUUGUCCGGAUUUAUUGGGCGUAAAGCGAGCGCAGGCGGUUAGAAAAGUCUGAAGUGAAAGGCAGUGGCUCAACCAUUGUAGGCUUUGGAAACUGUUUAACUUGAGUGCAGAAGGGGAGAGUGGAAUUCCAUGUGUAGCGGUGAAAUGCGUAGAUAUUAGGAAGAACACCAGUGGCGAAGGCGGCUUUCUGGACGAAAACUGACGCUGAGGCGCGAAAGCCAGGGGAGCGAACGGGAUUAGAUACCCCGGUAGUCCUGGCCGUAAACGAUGGGUACUAGGUGUAGGAGGUAUCGACCCCUUCUGUGCCGGAGUUAACGCAAUAAGUACCCCGCCUGGGGAGUACGGUCGCAAGGCUG
rnacentral:rRNA from 1 species